GCCAAUCAGCGGAAGCCGCCGGGGCCGCCUAAAGAAGAGGCUGUGCUCCGGCGCUCCGGCUCCUCAGAGAGCCUCGGCUAGCUGGGAUUCUAUCCCUGACCCUCUUCACAGUCCAGGUGAUCUUGACUACUGCUUUACAGAGAAUUGGAUCUGAGAUGUGGAAACAGCAAGAGAACUAGAAUUGGAAGUAAAGCGUUGAAGAUGUGACUGAAUUGCUGCAAUCUCAUGAUCAAAUUUGAAUGGAUGAGGAGUUGCUUCUUAGGGAUAAGCUAAGAAAGUGGUUUCUUGAGAUGGAAUCUACUGGUGAAGUUGCUAUGAACAUUGUUAAAAUGACAAAGAUUUAGGAAUUACAGAAACCUGGUUGAUAAAGCAGUGCAAGGGUGUGAGAGAGUUGACUUCAAUUUUGAAAUAAGUUCCACUGGCUGAGUGUGGUGGCUCACACCUGCAAUCCCAGUACUUUGAGAGGCCGAGGCUGAUAGAUCACUUGAGGUCAGGAGUUCAAGACCAGCCUGGCCAACAUGGUGAAACCCCACCUCUACCAAAUUAGCCAGAUGUGGUACACACCUGUAGUCCCAGCUACUUGGGAAGCUGAGGCAGGAGAACCUCUUGAACCAGGGAGGAGGAGGUUGCAGUGAGCCGAGAUGGCACCCCUGCACUCCAGCCUGG
rnacentral:antisense_RNA from 1 species